rnacentral:rRNA from 1 species
CACGGGGGGAGCAAGCGUUGUUCGGAAUCACUGGGCGUAAAGGGCGUGUAGGCGGUCAGGUAAGUGGGACGUGAAAUGCCUCGGCUCACCCGAGGAGCGGCGUCCCAUACUGCUUGGCUUGAGUACGGGAGAGGAUGUGGGAAUUCCUGGUGUAGCGGUGAAAUGCGUAGAUAUCAAGGAGGAACACCGGUGGCGAAGGCGCACAUCUGGCCCGAUACUGACGCUGAGGCGCGAAAGCUAGGGGAGCAAACGGG